CGUGCCUAAUACAUGCAAAGUCGAAACGCAUUUGUGGUUGAAAUGAUAUGAAGAACUUGUUCAGAUUUGAUUUUCAACAUUGCAAUGAGUGGCGAACGGGUGAGUAACACGUGGGAAACCUACCUCUUAGCAGGGGAUAACAUUUGGAAACAAAUGCUAAUACCGUAUAAUAAUUAAAACCGCAUGGUUUUAGUUUAAAAGAUGGUCUUGCUAUCACUAAGAGAUGGUCCCGCGGUGUAUUAGUUAGUUGGUGAGGUAAUGGCUCACCAAGACAAUGAUACAUAGCCGAGUUGAGAGACUGACUGGCCACAAUGGGACUGAGACACGGCCCAUACUCCUACGGGAGGCAGCAGUAGGGAAUCUUCCACAAUGGACGAAAGUCUGAUGGAGCAACGCCGCGUGUGUGAUGAAGGGUUUCGGCUCGUAAAACACUGUUGUAAGAGAAGAAUGACAUUGAGAGUAACUGUUCAAUGUGUGACGGUAUCUUACCAGAAAGGAACGGCUAAAUACGUG
rnacentral:rRNA from 1 species